rnacentral:sRNA from 1 species
AUAAACGGCGAGGACUGCAGCCCGCACUCGCAGCCCUGGCAGGCGGCACUGGUCAUGGAAAACGAAUUGUUCUGCUCGGGCGUCCUGGUGCAUCCGCAGUGGGUGCUGUCAGCCGCACACUGUUUCCAGAAGUGAGUGCAGAGCUCCUACACCAUCGGGCUGGGCCUGCACAGUCUUGAGGCCGACCAAGAGCCAGGGAGCCAGAUGGUGGAGGCCAGCCUCUCCGUACGGCACCCAGAGUACAACAGACCCUUGCUCGCUAACGACCUCAUGCUCAUCAAGUUGGACGAAUCCGUGUCCGAGUCUGACACCAUCCGGAGCAUCAGCAUUGCUUUGCAGUGCCCUACCGCGGGGAACUCUUGCCUCGUUUCUGGCUGGGGUCUGCUGGCGAACGGUGAGCUCACGGGUGUGUGUCUGCCCUCUUCAAGGGGGUCCUCUGCCCCGUCGCGGGGGCUGACCCAGAGCUCUGCGUCCCAGGCAGAAUGCCUACCGUGCUGCAGUGCGUGAACGUGUCGGUGGUGUCUGAGGAGGUCUGCAGUAAGCUCUAUGACCCGCUGUACCACCCCAGCAUGUUCUGCGCCGGCGGAGGGCAAGACCAGAAGGACUCCUGCAACGUGAGAGACGGGAAAGGGGAGGGCAGGCGACUCAGGGAAGGGUGGAGAAGGGGGAGACAGAGACACACGGGGCCGCAUGGCGAGAUGCAGAGACGGAGAGACACACAGGGAGACAGUGACAACUAGAGAGAGAAACUGAGAGAAACAGAGAAAUAAACACAGGAAUAAAGAGAAGCAAAGGAAGAGAGAAACAGAAACAGACAUGGGGAGGCAGAAACACACACACAUAGAAAUGCAGUUGACCUUCCAACAGCAUGGGGCCUGAGGGCGGUGACCUCCACCCAACAGAAAAUCCUCUUAUAACUUUUGACUCCCCAAAAACGUGACUAGAAAUAGCCUACUGUUGACGGGGAGCCUUACCAAUAACAU